UACGUAGGGGGCAAGCGUUGUCCGGAAUUACUGGGCGUAAAGCGCGUGUAGGUGGUGGGACAAGUCUGCUGUGAAAGCGCCUGGCUUAACCGGGCGAGGUCGGCGGAAACUGUUCGACUCGAGGACGGUAGAGGGGGGUGGAAUUCCCGGUGUAGUGGUGAAAUGCGUAGAGAUCGGGAGGAACACCUGUGGCGAAGGCGGCCCCCUGGGACGGCACUGACGCUGAGGCGCGAAAGCUAGGGGAGCAAACGGG
rnacentral:rRNA from 1 species